ensembl:lncRNA
UUUUUUUCUUUUUCCUUCUUUUUUUUUUUUUGGUCCGGGUCCUCUAUGGGGAAAGUCUUAGGCUUGUAGUGUCAGCCUUGCAUAUUUUCACAGCAGUCAGUUCCUUCUGAAUUCACUUUUUCCCUCUUGCAUGCAGAAAUUAAUACAAAAAUUAUUGAGAAAUCAAAUCCAAUUUGAUGGAAUUCUGCAACACUGCCACUGUCACUCUUCUCAAAUACAAUAUAAUCCUUGAUCAGAAGUUACUGAUAAAAAUCUGCUAUUUAUUUUAGGCACCUACUAUGUAUUAGAUGUUUAAAAAUACCUCUCCCUGUAACAGCAAACCUCAUAUUCUCUAUGCAAUGCUGGUACCCUGAUGCUUCCCAGGGCAUUCACAUUCCUGUGGCUAAGUAGACAUUAGCUCUGUCAAAGAUUCACCAGCAGAAUAAAUCCAGUCUGGUUGAUUCAAACUUACAGGAAUAACACCCCUUAAACAAAAAGUUAUUUUACUUCUUUAGAUACCCAGAGUCAUCCACACUUACUAAGAAGACCAGAAAAAGCAUCCAGGCAGCUGUCUUGAAGCAGGAGGUGCCUCAUGAUAGACAUGCUUUCAAGCAUAGGAGCAUUUUAGUGAUUAUGCUUCACAGAUCAUGAGCCAGAAAAAUUUGGACAAUAUUUUACCAUGUACUGUGCAAUACUGACUUGAAUAUCUUUUUUGAAAGGAUAAAAAGGAAAAGGUGUUCCUCACAUGGAUUCUGCAAUCCCUCGCUCAGCAGUUUAUUAUCUUCCAAAUUAAUUCUCAAUAUUUUGCAAAAAAAAAAAAAACUAAUUAAUUUCUUUUACAUAAAGGACACAUACAUGGAAGUGGUCUUCUAUUUAUAGUCCUCCUUUCCAAGUGUUCUAUUAACAUCCCACAUUGUGAAAUGUUUCCAUUGCUCACAAAUAGCCUUGUGCUGCUGUGUUCUCCCCUUUGUCAAGGCCCAUUUAUGAAAUCAGUUUAGGGCUCAUCCAUUUUAGAUUCCUGAGUGACUCUCUGUGAUGAUUUCUUUAUUCCCUCCACCCCACAUACACCAUAAGCCAUUUCUUAUUUCGUUUUAGAAUUUAGUCAACCUUUUUGAUUACUCUUCCUCUCUUUAUAUCGUAAAUAAUCCUCAAUAUUCUGAUUUUUGCCCUAUUUCCUUUAAUCAUUUCAAGUAAAGGUGGCUUUGUACCAUCAAAUCUUUGAGCUACAUCAAUCACUUCUUCUGUCUUGUAUCUUCCUUUAUCAGAUGAAUUAGUUGUGUUGUGCUUAUGAUAUAUUUAAAUCCUUGUCUGUUUUUCUCUCUACUUGUAUUAGUUUUCUUUUUAAACAUUUCUUGCACCCAUUUCUCUGACACUAGUUGCUUAGUUCCUUGAAAUUGAUCAGAAUUGUUAACAGUCUGAUAUUUCCUGUUAUGUGCAACUUACUCACUGUGAAUUCAAGGAUUUACCUCUUCAAAGCCUACACAGAGCUGCUCUUUCCGUUCUCAGACCCCACUGAGCUCUGAACUGCAGCUCUGACAGGGAAAUUCUCCCUUUUUUCAUUCCCUUUCACAAUUUUCCCAGCCAAGGAGAUUAGUGAUGUUCUACUUCCAUGUUAUUGUUCUGAGCAAUUACUCCAAAGAUCUUACUGAUACAGACUUGAAAGAGUGAGGAAAAACAAGAAAUACCCUUUAAUUACCAAGGACAAAAUGAGUACCAGCACUUCAGCUGAGGAUGAAAGGGGCUGUUUCAUGUUCCACCUCAAAUUCCUCAUCCAACAUUGAAGUUUCCACUAAAUUCCGAGGAACUCGGGGCUGAGAAGGGUCUGCCCUGCUUCAGAUCUACUUAAACAUGCUUUGUCUGUCUCCACACAGUGAAAUGUGUGCCCUGUGCUUCCAGGGAUUUCUCAGGAAUGUGCUAUCAUGUCUUAUCAACACACAGUGCUUACCAAGUGUUGAUGCAAAAAGCCCAUAGGAACAUGUGCAAACCCACUUCAGAAGAAGAAAUCAUGAGGAAGACCUGAGGACACUGGGAGUAAAAUUUGGUUAUUUGAAACACUUUUGUAAUGCUGAACACAUCCCAGUAACCAGCAAAAUCCCCCAUGCACUUUUAAAGGGACAAAAGAGCAUAAAGCUAAUGUAAUGCAUAUUCGGAAGAAGUCUCUUCCAGAAGGCUGAGAAAGUCAGAAAACACUGUCAGGUGCAUUGGAUACCUUCAGUUCAGCUUGUCAGAAAUACACCACAUCGGGAUGGCAAGAGCGGGAAGAAAGGAAGAGAAACAGGCAAGGAUGACACAGUAAUAUUUUGAGGUCAAAGCAGGCAAUUGCAAUUCCAUUCCAUAAUGCCAUUAAUUUCUGAGCAGUGAUUGCCAAAGGAAUCUCACCAGGUCUAAAAAAAAAAAAAAAAAAAAGUCCAUCUACCUUUAAGACCUUGCUGGUUCUGAAACUGACAAACAGAUAUUGCCAACACCUUCACACUGGCUGGAGCCUUUCCCAGCUGCAUCCAUGAACAGAUCAUCACAGGCAGCCCAACUCCCUAAAAAGACCUUUGAAAAUAUUUCCUAUUCAUGUUCAGACUUUUUUUCCUAAACAUAAUAGCAACCUCUCCUGUCCCACCAAAAUUCAAAGCACGGAAAAACCAAAAGCAAAAUAUAUUCCUCUACUCUUCUCCUGCAGACCAGCACAGGCUAUUCUUAACAUCAGGUCAACAGCAACACAACAAGGAGAAAACUUUUCAAUAUUAAUUUGUAAAGUUAGUCCAAUUAAAGGUAACACCCUCAAUGUGCCUUAUGCUGCAUUUCCCAAACAUUUUAAAACAUUCAGUACAAAAUGCUGAUCAUGAAAGAAACUGAAAGCUAGCUCCUAAACUCUGCCAGGAGGAAAAGCUGUCCCUAGGGAAGUAGCCAGCAAUCAGACAUGAGAUCCAGCAAGUUACCCCAACUCUGUCCUAUUCCAAGGGCUUCCCUUAAUCCACUUGUUUAGAUACAGCUUGAUAUUAUUUUCCCAGAUCUCACUACAACAUUGCAGAGAGCAGUCUGUAAGUUCUGAACUGAGAAUAAAGAAUGGGCUGCGAAAUAGUCCGUUCUAAUCCUGGCUACAUCAAAAAAAUCUCUACUAACAACAAGGCGUCUUUGCUUGCAGGGAGGGGCAGACAAAGAUGACAGGAAAAACAAGGCUGAUGAACGAUCAAGGAACUACCAAAAAAGGAAAGUUCAAAGCUUGUCUCCUCCCCUCAACUUUUUAGGCAUAGUUUGGAAACAUCUAAACUUUCACAGGAAAGACAGGGCAGGUGCCAAUACCUGGUCAGAGACCCACCUGUGCUAAGAAACGCCCUCCAUGUCCAAUGGACUCCUAAUUAUGUGUUGUCCCCAGAUUAUCAAAUUAAUUUCUCACUCUUGAAGUUCUGUCCAGAGCUAUCUUCCAUCUCUCCAGUCUGAGGAACCAGCUUAAUAUUGUGUCUUCCUGAAUAAUUUGAGUUGGAAUCAAAUUUGGCAGAGCAGCAGUGGAUGACACCAAAAUAUGAGUGCAGUAUUACCUGUGCACACUAUUUCUUGAAGCUACCAUUUCAUAGGGUUAUUUCUCACCAUCUGACUCUCAGGCCCCAGGAAGUUUGGCAUAAAAAUGUAUUUACGAUAUUUGCUUUUACAACAAGCUUCGUAAAUUCUCCUAGAUCUUGUUAAAAAGUAUUUAAUUUGCUUUUUGUAAAGGAACUGUCCUCUGUUAGUUCUUUCAUUAGAAUAAGCAUAAACAACAGUUUCACAUUCCUCAUGUGCCACGACCUGCUCUCUCCCUGUGGCACUGAAACGGGCAUGGGCACCUCUGCCCACACUCAGUGUUAUUGGGUGGAGUGUGUGAACAGAUUCCAGUUCCACUCUGCAAAAACCUCUGAUAAAAACUUGCAACUCUGAGGAUGAGAAGAAAACAAGAUAAAAAUACUCACACACAAAAUAAACAGCAUGUGUAAUUAUUUGCAAGGCUGCUACUGCUUUGAACUAUCCUGAUUUUGAGGGCUGCUAUUGUGAUAAACCUUUGUUAUAGUCCUCUGGAAAGCGACAACAGGCUCUCAUGACUGCAUGUUUUCAUGCAUCCAGCAUGGAAACUGAUGUUGAUGCUUGGCAUCCAAGCAGGUCCACCAACCCAGACUGGUGGCUAGUAAUCCUCAAUUUCUGAAACAGUGAUUUAGCUCCCAGCAGCAUCGUUUGACAAUUAUUUCCUCUUCCUCUUUAAUAUAUCAUUUUUUUGGCAUUUGUUUAAAUUCUAGGCAGCAAGAAUGAGAAAUCAUAUAAUCUUCCUGAAGAGCCUCACAUACUGAGCACCGCUAAAUAUUUGGCAAGAUAAAUGACAGAGCAGCUCUAAAGGAAUCAUGUAUUCUAGAAAUAAAAGAAGAUACAUCUGUUGUCUCUUUUGUCAAUGUGAAAGGUGAGCCACAUAAAACAUGGGAUAGCAAAAUACUGAGAAAUGACAGAAGACACGGCCAUGUCAAUUCAGGUGUUAGGUUAUCCCAUGUCCUUUCAUUUCUGAGGAUCUGACAUGCUUCGUUUUUCAGAAAGAUGUGCAGGAGACCAAAGUAAAGGUUAUUAGAUCUUGCUGGUCUGAAAUCUAGAGGGGAAAAAAGAUAACUUCUUAGCUUUGCACACGGGUGUUGUUUGGUUUACUCUGUCGGGGACUCAGACAUAACCUGGGUGGCUCGGACACCUGUCAGUGUCCAUCAGAACACUCAGCCUUUGCAGCCAAGUUUAUAGAGGUGUUCCACAGCACCACUUUUCACCCUCUGGCCACUGAAAAGGCCAUGACUUUCAGGUCACACCCUCCAUGGGACUACACUCAAAAAGUGCUGCACAGGACCCCAAAGAGGCUUAACAAAGUGAUGGAUCAGGAGAGCCAGAACCUGAAAUUUUAUGUCCCAGAAGCAGCAUGAACAUCUGGUUGAAGUCUUUCAUUAGCAGUGAUCAAGUAGGGACACCUCCCUCACUGCUGAAAUGGUGCUGCACACCAGAGUAUCCCAUUAGCCCUCCCAGGUGGGAAAAAAGUACUUUUUUUCCUCAAUAAAAGAA